rnacentral:rRNA from 1 species
UAUCUACAGGCUUAACACAUGCAAGUCGAGGGGCAGCAUGAACUUAGCUUGCUAAGUUUGAUGGCGACCGGCGCACGGGUGAGUAACACGUAUCCAACCUGCCGAUGACUCGGGGAUAGCCUUUCGAAAGAAAGAUUAAUACCCGAUGGCAUAGUUCUUCCGCAUGGUAGAACUAUUAAAGAAUUUCGGUCAUCGAUGGGGAUGCGUUCCAUUAGGUUGUUGGCGGGGUAACGGCCCACCAAGCCUUCGAUGGAUAGGGGUUCUGAGAGGAAGGUCCCCCACAUUGGAACUGAGACACGGUCCAAACUCCUACGGGAGGCAGCAGUGAGGAAUAUUGGUCAAUGGACGAGAGUCUGAACCAGCCAAGUAGCGUGAAGGAUGACUGCCCUAUGGGUUGUAAACUUCUUUUAUACGGGAAUAAAGUGAGGCACGCGUGCCUUUUUGUAUGUACCGUAUGAAUAAGGAUCGGCUAACUCCGUGCCAGCAGCCGCGGUAAUACGGAGGAUCCGAGCGUUAUCCGGAUUUAUUGGGUUUAAAGGGAGCGUAGGCGGACGCUUAAGUCAGUUGUGAAAGUUUGCGGCUCAACCGUAAAAUUGCAGUUGAUACUGGGUGUCUUGAGUACAGUAGAGGCAGGCGGAAUUCGUGGUGUAGCGGUGAAAUGCUUAGAUAUCACGAAGAACUCCGAUUGCGAAGGCAGCCUGCUGGACUGUAACUGACGCUGAUGCUCGAAAGUGUGGGUAUCAAACAGGAUUAGAUACCCUGGUAGUCCACACAGUAAACGAUGAAUACUCGCUGUUUGCGAUAUACAGUAAGCGACCAAGCGAAAGCGUUAAGUAUUCCACCUGGGGAGUACGCCGGCAACGGUGAAACUCAAAGGAAUUGACGGGGGCCCGCACAAGCGGAGGAACAUGUGGUUUAAUUCGAUGAUACGCGAGGAACCUUACCCGGGCUUGAAUUGCAACUGAAUGAUGUGGAGACAUGUCAGCCGCAAGGCAGUUGUGAAGGUGCUGCAUGGUUGUCGUCAGCUCGUGCCGUGAGGUGUCGGCUUAAGUGCCAUAACGAGCGCAACCCUUAUCGAUAGUUUCCAUCAGGUUAUGCUGGGGACUCUGUCGAGACUGCCGUGGUAAGAUGUGAGGAAGGUGGGGAUGACGUCAAAUCAGCUCGUCCCUUACGUCCGGGGCUUCACAGGUGUUACAAUGGGGGGU